UACGUAGGGUGCAAGCGUUAAUCGGAAUCACUGGGCGUAAAGCGUGCGCAGGCGGUGAUGUAAGACAGAUGUGAAAUCCCCGGGCUCAACCUGGGAACUGCAUUUGUGACUGCAUCGCUGGAGUGCGGCAGAGGGGGAUGGAAUUCCGCGUGUAGCAGUGAAAUGCGUAGAUAUGCGGAGACACCGAUGGCGAAGGCAAUCCCCUGGGCCUGCACUGACGCUCAUGCACGAAAGCGUGGGAGCAAACAGG
rnacentral:rRNA from 1 species